UUCACCAUUAUUGCAGAGAUUCAUCCAGAUUCGUCGAUGAGUCACCUCCAGAGAUAAAGGGUGGGUUUUCACCUCAGAUCUGAAGAGUAUACAAAUUCUGGUCUCUCUUUGAAGGUUCGGCUGCUCCUCUCACAACCGCCUCUCACAUCUGCUCGGUAAGAUUGAGCUUCAAUUCCAUAGGAACUAUACAUUCUGGCGUUCGGUUGAAAGGGGAGAAUCAAACGUUGCUUUCCAGGUGAUAGCUUGAGGGAAAUAACAAAAGGUCUUCUGAG